CCUACGGUGAGCUGCAGUGGGGGAUAUUGCACAAUGGGGGGAACCCUGAUGCAGCGACGCCGCGUGGGUGAAGGAGUGCUUCGGCAUGUAAAGCCCUUUCGCCAGGGAAGACGCAAGACGGUACCUGACUAAGAAGCCCCGGCUAACUACGUGCCAGCAGCCGCGGUAAUACAUAGGGGGCGAGCGUUAUCCGGAUUCACUGGGGGUAAAGGGAGCGUAGACGGCCAAGCAAGCCAGGGGGGAAAGCCCGGGGCCCAACCCCGGGACUGCAUUGGAAACUGGCAUGCUGGAGUGCCGGAGGGGCAAGCGGAAUUGCUGGUGUAGCGGUGAAAUGCGUAGAUAUUAGGAGGAACACCGGUGGCGAAGGCGGCUUGCUGGACGGUAACUGACGUUGAGGCUCGAAAGCGUGGGGAGCAAACAGGAUUAGAUACCCCUGUAGUC
rnacentral:rRNA from 1 species